GCCUGAGAAACGGCUACCACAUCUAAGGAAUCUAAGAUAAGGCAGCAGGCGCGCAAAUUACCCAAUCCUAAUACAGGGAGGUAGUGACAAGAAAUAACAAUACAGGACUUUUUGGUUUUGUAAUUGGAAUGAGUUAAGUAUAAACCCCUUUACAAGUAUCAAUUGGAGGGCAAGUCUGGUGCCAGCAGCCGCGGUAAUUCCAGCUCCAAUAGCGUAUAUUAAAGUUGUUGCAGUUAAAAAGCUCGUAGUUGGAUUUCUGUUAAUAAUUUAUAUAAAAUAUUUUGAUGAAUAUUUAUAUAAUAUUAACAUAAUUCAUAUUACUAUUUUUUUUUUUAGUAUAUGAAAUUUUACUUUGAGAAAAUUAGAGUGCUUAAAGCAGGCAUAUGCCUUGAAUACUCCAGCAUGGAAUAAUAUUAAAGAUUUUUAUCUUUCUAAGAUAAGAAUAAUGAUUAAUAGGGACAGUUGGGGGCAUUU
rnacentral:rRNA from 1 species